rnacentral:rRNA from 1 species
UACGUAGGGCGCAAGCGUUGUCCGGAAUUAUUGGGCGUAAAGAGCUCGUAGGCGGCUUGUCACGUCGGGUGUGAAAGCCCGGGGCUUAACCCCGGGUCUGCAUUCGAUACGGGCAGGCUAGAGUGUGGUAGGGGAUACUGGAAUUCCUGGUGUAGCGGUGAAAUGCGUAGAUAUUAGGAGGAAUACCUAUGGCGAAAGCAGGUAUCUGGGCCAUCACUGACGCUGAGCUGCGAAAGCUAGGGGAGCAAACAGG